UGGGACCUGCAUAACCCCGGGAAACUGGGGAUAAUUCGGGAUAACGCAUAUGUGCUGGAAUGCUUUAUGCGUAAAAAGGAUUCGUCCGCCCAAGGAUGGGUCUGCGGCCUAUCAGGUAGUAGUGGGUGUAAUGUACCUACUAGCCGACAACGGGUACGGGUUGUGAGAGCAAGAGCCCGGAGAUGGAUUCUGAGACAUGAAUCCAGGCCCUACGGGGCGCAGCAGGCGCGAAAACUUUACAAUGCGGGAAACCGUGAUAAGGGGACACCGAGUGUCAGCAUCAUAUGCUGGCUGUCCAGGUGUGUAAAAUACACCUGUUAGCAAGGGCCGGGCAAGACCGGUGCCAGCCGCCGCGGUAACACCGGCGGCCCGAGUGGUGAUCGUGAUUAUUGGGUCUAAAGGGUCCGUAGCCGGUUUGGUCAGUCCUCCGGGAAAUCUGAUAGCUCAACUAUUAGGCUAUCGGGGGAUACUACCAGACUUGGAACCGGGAGAGGUAAGAGGUACUACAGGGGGUAGGAGUGAAAUCUUGUAAUCCCUGUGGGACCACCUGUGGCGAAGGCGUCUUACCAGAACGGGUUCGACGGUGAGGGACGAAAGCUGGGGGCACGAACCGGAUUAGAUACCCGGGUAGUCCCAGCCGUAAACGAUGCUCGCUAGGUGUCAGGCAUGGCGCGACCGUGUCUGGUGCCGCAGGGAAGCC
rnacentral:rRNA from 1 species